rnacentral:rRNA from 1 species
UGCGGAAGGAUCAUUACCGAGUGCGGGUCCCCUUCGUGGGACCCAACCUCCCACCCGUGAUUAUUGUACCUCCUGUUGCUUCGGCGCGGCCCCCCGGGGCCCGCCGGAGACAUCUUCUCGAACGCUGUCUUUGAAAAGGAUUGCUGUCUGAGUAAACAUACCAAAUCGGUUAAAACUUUCAACAACGGAUCUCUUGGUUCCGGCAUCGAUGAAGAACGCAGCGAAAUGCGAUAAGUAAUGUGAAUUGCAGAAUUCAGUGAAUCAUCGAAUCUUUGAACGCACAUUGCGCCCCCUGGUAUUCCGGGGGGCAUGCCUGUCCGAGCGUCAUUACUGCCCCUCAAGCGCGGCUUGUGUGUUGGGCCGCCGUCCCCUGCGCCUCCGGGCAAGGGGGACGGGCCCGAAAGGCAGUGGCGGCGCCGCGUCCGGUCCUCGAGCGUAUGGGGCUUUGUCACCCGCUCAGUAGGUCGGGCCGGGGCCUUUGCCCUCUCCAACCUUUUUUUCCUUAGGUUGACCUCGGAU